rnacentral:tRNA from 1 species
CGGGAAGUAGCGCAGCUUGGUAGCGCAUCUGGUUUGGGACCAGAGGGUCGCAGGUUCAAAUCCUGUCUUCCCGA